GACCGCGUAGCUCAGUUGGCAGAGCAUUGGUGACUAGUAUUCCAAAGGUCGUAGGUUUGAUUCCCACCGUGGCCA